rnacentral:rRNA from 1 species
GAUGAACGCUGGCGGCGUGCCUAUACAUGCAAGUCGAGCGAAUGGAUUAAGAGCUUGCUCUUAUGAAGUUAGCGGCGGACGGGUGAGUAACACGUGGGUAACCUGCCCAUAAGACUGGGAUAACUCCGGGAAACCGGGGCUAAUACCGGAUAACAUUUUGAACCGCAUGGUUCGAAAUUGAAAGGCGGCUUCGGCUGUCACUAAUGGAUGGACCCGCGCCGCAUUAGCUAGUUGGUGAGGUAACGGCUCACCAAGGCAACGAUGCGUAGCCGACCUGAGAGGGUGAUCGGCCACACUGGGACUGAGACACGGCCCAGACUCCUACGGGAGGCAGCAGUAGGGAAUCUUCCGCAAUGGACGAAAGUCUGACGGAGCAACGCCGCGUGAGUGAUGAAGGCUUUCGGGUCGUAAAACUCUGUUGUUAGGGAAGAACAAGUGCUAGUUGAAUAAGCUGGCACCUUGACGGUACCUAACCAGAAGCCACGGCUAACUACGUGCCAGCCGCCGCAGUAA